CCAGACAGGGAAAGGAUUGGCAUCAUGGGUUAUGGUUAGAGCUCCUGUUUGCCUGUGUGCAGCGAAACUGCAGGGGAGGAGUAUUGCAAAACCAAAGUACAAAAGAGAGGACCAGUUCCAGUCUGAAGGUCUGUAUUUCUACCAUCUCCGGUAGGAUGAAUGAAUCCUGCCUAUUGUGACUGACAGGCUAACUCCUAUAAAGGGAGAAAGGACUACAGCUGUGGUGUCUCUUAACUGCUGACUGUGUUUAUCUGCCUACAUAGAAGGUUGAAACAGAGAAUAUGAAAAAUAUUGAGGAUAGUGGAAGAGGGCCCAAGUCCAAGAACAUGGGGCAUGAAUGGUCACAAUCACCAUGUGGGAAAGCAAGCUAAGAAGAAAGGAACAUGCUUCCCUCCCUCUGGAAUGCUGGUGUAACAUAAGUACUCCUAAAGGAAAAUGCAGUCUGAGGACAUUUUCUGCCU